AUAGAAAUAGUUCAGAGGUAGAACAAUCGAUUGUGGUUCGAUAUACCUGAGUUCGAAUCUCAGUUUUUAUC